rnacentral:rRNA from 2 species
GGGCUAAUACCGGAUGGUUGUUUGAACCGCAUGGUUCAGACAUAAAAGGUGGCUUCGGCUACCACUUACAGAUGGACCCGCGGCGCAUUAGCUAGUUGGUGAGGUAACGGCUCACCAAGGCGACGAUGCGUAGCCGACCUGAGAGGGUGAUCGGCCACACUGGGACUGAGACACGGCCCAGACUCCUACGGGAGGCAGCAGUAGGGAAUCUUCCGCAAUGGACGAAAGUCUGACGGAGCAACGCCGCGUGAGUGAUGAAGGUUUUCGGAUCGUAAAGCUCUGUUGUUAGGGAAGAACAAGUGCCGUUCAAAUAGGGCGGCACCUUGACGGUACCUAACCAGAAAGCCACGGCUAACUACGUGCCAGCAGCCGCGGUAAUACGUAGGUGGCAAGCGUUGUCCGGAAUUAUUGGGCGUAAAGGGCUCGCAGGCGGUUUCUUAAGUCUGAUGUGAAAGCCCCCGGCUCAACCGGGGAGGGUCAUUGGAAACUGGGGAACUUGAGUGCAGAAGAGGAGAGUGGAAUUCCACGUGUAGCGGUGAAAUGCGUAGAGAUGUGGAGGAACACCAGUGGCGAAGGCGACUCUCUGGUCUGUAACUGACGCUGAGGAGCGAAAGCGUGGGGAGCGAACAGGAUUAGAUACCCUGGUAGUCCACGCCGUAAACGAUGAGUGCUAAGUGUUAGGGGGUUUCCGCCCCUUAGUGCUGCAGCUAACGCAUUAAGCACUCCGCCUGGGGAGUACGGUCGCAAGACUGAAACUCAAAGGAAUUGACGGGGGCCCGCACAAGCGGUGGAGCAUGUGGUUUAAUUCGAAGCAACGCGAAGAACCUUACCAGGUCUUGACAUCCUCUGACAAUCCUAGAGAUAGGACGUCCCCUUCGGGGGCAGAGUGACAGGUGGUGCAUGGUUGUCGUCAGCUCGUGUCGUGAGAUGUUGGGUUAAGUCCCGCAACGAGCGCAACCCUUGAUCUUAGUUGCCAGCAUUCAGUUGGGCACUCUAAGGUGACUGCCGGUGACAAACCGGAGGAAGGUGGGGAUGACGUCAAAUCAUCAUGCCCCUUAUGACCUGGGCUACACACGUGCUACAAUGGACAGAACAAAGGGCAGCGAAACCGCGAGGUUAAGCCAAUCCCACAAAUCUGUUCUCAGUUCGGAUCGCAGUCUGCAACUCGACUGCGUGAAGCUGGAAUCGCUAGUAAUCGNGGAUCAGCANNCCGCGGNGAAUNCGUUCCCGGGCCUGGNGC